rnacentral:rRNA from 1 species
UACGGAGGGUGCAAACGUUGCUCGGAAUCAUUGGGCGUAAAGCGCACGUAGGCGGCCUGUUAAGUCGGAUGUGAAAGCCCCGGGCUCAACCCGGGAAGUGCAUUCGAUACUGCCGUGCUUGAGGACUGGAGAGGAGACUGGAAUUUACGGUGUAGCGGUGAAAUGCGUAGAUAUCGUAAGGAAGACCAGUGGCGAAGGCGGGUCUCUGGACAGUUCCUGACGCUGAGGCACGAAGGUCAGGGGAGCAAACGGG